GCUAUUUUAAAAAGUAGUAAUAUAGCGGUUUCACGAAGGCUGUUACUGUGAAGAUCACGUACAAUAAACGUCACUGCAUUUGUCAGUAAAGGAGAAACAUUAUAAGAAUAUCUGACACAUUCAGUUGCGCUGAACAAGACGAUGUCUGACAAGAACCAAACCUCAGAGCUUCCUGAUGCGCAAGGAGGGCGUCUAGAGGAAAACCCGGCCACUGGGCUAUUAAAUGUGAAGGAAGAGGAUGAG